UCUCGAUGAUUGCAUGGAGUGGAAGACUUUGCAGUGUAGCAAGGUUGCUCAGGAGCUGCUGAAGGGAAACAACCCUGGAUGUCACAGGCUGAAGGAGGAGGUCUUACACAUCUUCUUGGUUCAGGACUUGAGAAAUAAGGUGAAGAAAAAGGAAAAAGACCUGCUAAUCUUUCCCUUCACCGUUGGAUGUCGGUCGAAUGGUUGAUGGCAGGGGGAACUCACUCGACGUAUCGAAGCUACUGUAUGGACUAAGAGA